rnacentral:rRNA from 1 species
ACUCAAAUGAAUUGACGGGGGACCGCACAAGCAGCGGAGCGUGUGGUUUAAUUCGAGGCUACACGAAGAACCUUACCUAGGUUUGACAUCUUACUGAAGACUUCGUGAAAGCGAGGUUGUCCCGCAAGGGACAGUAGGACAGGUGCUGCAUGGCUGUCGUCAGCUCGUGCCGUGAGGUGUUCGGUUAAGUCCGCAAACGAGCGCAACCCUCGGUGCCAGUUACAAGUGUCUGGCGCGACUGCCCGUGGCAAACGGGAGGAAGGUGGGGAUGACGUCAAGUCAGCAUGGCCUUUAUAUCUAGGGCUACACACACGCUACAAUGGCGCGUACAAUGGGUCGCGAACCCGCGAGGGGGAGCCAAUCCUAAAAAGCGCGUCUCAGUUCAGAUUGUAGGCUGCAACCCGCCUGCAUGAAGUUGGAGUUGCUAGUAACCGCGCGUCAGCAGAGUGCGGUGAAUACGUUCCCGGUCCUUGUACACACCGCCCGU